rnacentral:rRNA from 1 species
AAGCCAGACUCCUACGGGAGGCAGCAGUGGGGGAUAUUGCACAAUGGGGGGAACCCUGAUGCAGCGACGCCGCGUGGGCGAUGGAGCGCCUCGGCGCGUAAAGCCCUAUCAGCAGGGAAGAAGAUGACGGUACCUGACUAAGAAGCCCCGGCUAAAUACGUGCCAGCAGCCGCGGUAAUACGUAUGGGGCAAGCGUUAUCCGGAUUUACUGGGUGUAAAGGGAGCGCAGGCGGCCUGGCAAGCCUGAUGUGAAAUACCGGGGCCCAACCCCGGGGCUGCAUUGGGAACUGCCAGGCUGGAGUGCCGGAGAGGCAGGCGGAAUUCCUAGUGUAGCGGUGAAAUGCGUAGAUAUUAGGAGGAACACCAGUGGCGAAGGCGGCCUGCUGGACGGUGACUGACGCUGAGGCUCGAAAGCGUGGGGAGCAAACAGGAUUAGAUACCCGCGUACC